rnacentral:rRNA from 1 species
CUACGGGACGCUCCAGUGGGGAAUAUUGGACAAUGGGCGAAAGCCUGAUCCAGCCAUGCCGCGUGGAUGAAGAAGGCCCUAGGGUUGUAAAGUCCUUUCGGUGGUGAAGAUAAUGACGGUAACCACAGAAGAAGCCCCGGCUAAUUUCGUGCCAGCAGCCGCGGUAAUACGAAAGGGGCUAGCGUUGUUCGGAAUUACUGGGCGUAAAGCGCACGUAGGCGGCCUUGUAAGUUGGGGGUGAAAUCCCGGAGCUCAACUCCGGAACUGCCUUCAAAACUACAAAGCUAGAGGAUGUGAGAGGAUAGUGGAAUUCCGAGUGUAGAGGUGAAAUUCGUAGAUAUUCGGAAGAACACCGGUGGCGAAGGCGACUGUCUGGCACAUUUCUGACGCUGAGGUGCGAAAGCGUGGGGAGCAAACAGGAUUAGAUACCCCGUUAGUC